AUGUGGAGUGACACUAUUCUGGGGGAGCCUCCUUUGCGAAAUCGAUUCCCAUCUUUAUUUGGCAUUUGUAACUACCAAGAGAUUACAGUAGCUGGUUUUAAGAAUUUUACGGGCGAUGAUUUCUUUAGAAGACGGUUGCACCCUCCUCUUGUAGAUCAGUGGACCGAGCUGGGAGGGGUGGUGAAAUCCUGGCCAGUGUCAACGGAACCUGACAAGGUUUGCUGGGCCCUUGGUAAGAAGAAAAAUUUCACUACAAAAUCAGUCUAUGUCUACCUGGAGAGACAGUUGGUAGGAUGUGACUAUAGGUGGAUCUGGAAAGCUAAGAUACCCCUUAAAAUUCAGAUUUUCCUUUGGCAGUUGUUCCAAGAUGCCAUUCUGACUAGAGAGGUCAUGAAAAAAAGAAAAUGGGCUGGAAAUCCCAGAUGCUCCUUUUGUAGAGACAUUGAAACGUCUCAACAUUUGUUCUUUACCUGUCCCGUGGCUUGGGUGGUCUAG
rnacentral:rRNA from 1 species